UGGGGAAUAUUGGACAAUGGGCGAAAGCCUGAUCCAGCAAUGCCGCGUGGGUGAAGAAGGUUUUCGGAUUGUAAAGCCCUUUCGGCGGGGACGAUGAUGACGGUACCCGCAGAAGAAGCUCCGGCUAACUUCGUGCCAGCAGCCGCGGUAAUACGAAGGGGGCUAGCGUUGCUCGGAAUGACUGGGCGUAAAGGGCGCGUAGGCGGUUCGUACAGUCAGAUGUGAAAUUCCUGGGCUUAACCUGGGGGCUGCAUUUGAUACGUGCGGGCUUGAGUGGGGAAGAGGGUCGUGGAAUUCCCAGUGUAGAGGUGAAAUUCGUAGAUAUUGGGAAGAACACCGGUGGCGAAGGCGGCGACCUGGUCCUUGACUGACGCUGAGGCGCGAAAGCGUGGGGAGCAAACA
rnacentral:rRNA from 1 species